CAUUACAUCCACCAACCAGCUUGUUGAAGAAAUGAAUGGCUAUUUAAAUCAAAUUUAUUUUUCUUUAAGAACUAUUGUUGCUCCUUAUGUUCAAUUUUUGUUUUCUCGUGACACUUCUUUGCAGGUUCAUCAACAUAAUUUUUGCUCAAAUUAUAAAAACCAUACUAAUGAUAAUUUUUGUUUCUUUUUUUGUCCGUUAAAUUAUAGAAACCAUACUAAUGAUGAUUUCCAACUUCAUGCAUAUGCCGCUUUUGGGAUUUGAAAGUUUAAUAACUGGGGAACUCAUUGUGGAGCCCCAGUGUUCCUUCUCUUCUUUCCAAGUCAUCAAUAUUCUUUUGUUUCCUAUGGUGUGGCCUACCUAGUUUUUGGAAUACUGCACUUUUUAGGUAGUUCUUUCAUCUUGACAAGGAACAUUAGAAGAAUGGUUUUAAUGUAAUCUGCAGGUUUGUGGGAGAUACGUGUGCAUUGACAACUAAUAUUUUAAUGGGGUGGAUCUUAUGAAAGUUCCACCCAAGGGGCUAUCAGUUUGUUAGCCUGGUUCUUUUUGGAUUAUGGGAGAUAUGUGUGCAUUGACAACUAAUAUUUUAAUGUAAUCUGCUGGUUUAUGGCUAAUGAUGGGAAGAUGAAGCUGAAGGCAAUGCUUCUAACCCAUUCCUCUUUAGAAAUACAUUCUAGAAAACUUCAGAACUUUGGUCUGACUUCUAUUCUUGAUUAUACAUGCAAUGCCAUUCCAAAUCAGCCUGGAAAAUUUCACAGGAGAUGCAUUUUCGCACCUAGCAAGUGAACAAGUUUGCCUCGCUUGGUCUAGAACGAGCUCCCCUCGGGUCAAGAGUGCAUCGAGCAUGUCCAAAAACCAGUUAGGUACAUAAAAGGCCAUCACAUUGUGGAGCUCUUCAUCUGCUUGACGGACCUUCAUUGAAUUGUCUUUUUAUUUUGAAGUCUUCCAUUGUAGAUUUUAGUUUUUACAGUCAGGUUUGCAAGUCAGAUAAAUAAUGUUUCAAAUUACAUCAUGGUUGUUU